rnacentral:rRNA from 1 species
UACGUAGGGGGCAAGCGUUAUCCGGAUUUACUGGGUGUAAAGGGAGCGUAGACGGCACUGCAAGUCUGGAGUGAAAGCCCGGGGCUCAACCCCGGGACUGCUUUGGAAACUGUGGUGCUGGAGUGCAGGAGAGGUAAGUGGAAUUCCUAGUGUAGCGGUGAAAUGCGUAGAUAUUAGGAGGAACACCAGUGGCGAAGGCGGCUUACUGGACUGUAACUGACGUUGAGGCUCGAAAGCGUGGGGAGCAAAC